rnacentral:lncRNA from 1 species
CAGCUCUGAAGAGUUCUGGAUCUGGGGCUGGGAUGACAGUUAAGCCCAUUCAGUGCUCGAUGCUGGAUGCUCAAGUAAGAGGUCUUCAUUUCAGAUCCCCAAUCAAUACCCAUGGAAACCCGAGCACAGUGUGAGUGUCACAUCCAUAACUCUAGUGUUUUGAGAAGGGUUAGGGAAACAAAAAAACGGUGAAUGGCUGAGAAAGAUACAAUGAUACAAUGUCAAUCUCUGCCUUCCAAACACAUGCACACAUACAUACAUGGGCAACUGCAAAACAUGUACACAUAAAGACACAGCCACAUAUAUGUCACACACAAAAAGAAAUAAAGAGAUGGAGAAGGAAAGGAAUGAUAAAAAUCUAUAGCUGAAGAGAAAAUGUCCAGGUUGUGCGGGCAUUGUUCAAAGGUCCCUGAAGAACUAACAAGGUAACACCACACUUGUAGACAGAGGAUAACAGAAAGAAACAGGUGGGAAAUCCCACCCUGUCUCUCUAACACUCCCAAGACAGUGCAGAGAUAUCACGCUUGGCAAGUCUCAGAGUCAGGAUCAGCUCCCCCCCCACACACACACACAAAGGUGCCAGAAGCAAGAGACUCAGUCAUGGAAGCCAGGGGCAGGGAGCGGGGUGGCAAUCCAGUGGUUCAUGAAGAAAGGAAGGCUGCAAUUGGCAUACAAGAGACCGUGCUAGAAAACAGGGCAAAUGGAAUGUGUGGGCACUGCUUGCGUGCGUGCGUCCACCAUGCUUGGUAGGCUCCUCACAUCGCUCUUCUGUCUUUUCCUUUGUUGUGUGCCUUUGCUGUUCAUGCAGAUGGGACUCAAGGUUGCCACUUAAUGGGAGAACAAGUGCACCAACGCAGCGCUCACAGGAGAACUUCUCCAGAUUUCUGCCAAUACCUUCCAAUCUGAGGAACAAAAAGCAGUUAAUUCCCUGGACAGCAAAGACCUCUCAGAGUCCUUCCACCUUCUCAGGGACCCAAAGUGUGAGCCAGGGCUCUGGACCCAAGACCUCACCUCAUCUUCCAGAGAGAGAAAUGCAGCCAGAGAUCAAAAGUGGUACUGGACAAUCAGAUGAAUACUUUGGGGAUCAAGGACAGGCCCUGUAAGUCCUUCUCUGAGUUUCACUUUAUUAACCUGAUCUCACACACACACACACACACACACACACACACACACACACACACGCACGCACGCACGCACGCACUGGGCUGGUUCCUGUACAAUGGCAAUGUAUACUGAGACAGCCAUUUUUCUUCAGUACUGAUAAGUGCUAUAGGAUACAAUAACUCACUCAUAAGCACCAGAACCUGAGGCCAUGAUAGUUCCCUCAAGUACCCUCACUUCCAGGCUAACCCAUUUAAGAAAGCAAUUUUUCAGAUGGUCAAUGAGAACAUGAGGGAACAGGAUGGUCAGGUUGGGGGAGGGACAGACGGGGAGAGAAUGAAAGAGACCUCUUGAUAGAGGAAGCCAUUGUGGGGUUGGAAAGGAACCUGGCACUAGGGAAAUUCCCAGGAAUCCACAAGGAUGACCCCAGUUAAGACUCAUAGCAAUAGGAGAGAGGGUGCCUGAACUGGCCUUCUCCUAUAAUUAGAGUAGUGACUACCCUAAUUGUCAUCAUAGAACCUUCAUCCAGUAACUGAUGGAAGCAGAUGCAGAGAUCCAGUCAAGCACUUGGCUGAGCUCCUGGAAUACAGUAGAAGAAAGGGAGAAGGGAUUACAUGAGCAGGGGUGGGGAGUAAGAUCAUGAUAGGGAAACCCACAGAGACAGCUGAACAGAGCUAGUGGGAGCUCGUGGACUCUGGACUGACAGCUGAGGAGCCUGCAUGGGACCAAACUAGGCCCCCUGAAUGUGGGUGACAAUUGUGAGGUUUGGUCUGCUUGUGGGACCCCUGACAAUGGGCCUGGUUCAUGCACUGGCUUUUUGGAGCCCAUUCCCUAUGGUGGGAUACCUUGCUCAACCUUGAUGGGGGGGGGCGGGACUUAAUCCUGCCUCAACUCCAUUUGCCAGGCUUAGUUGACUCCCCAAGGAAGGCCUUACCUCCUCUGAGGAGUGG